UAGGGAAUCUUCCGCAAUGGGCGAAAGCCUGACGGAGCAACGCCGCGUGAGUGAUGAAGGUCUUCGAAUCGUAAAACUCUGUUAUCAAGGAAGAACAAAUGUGUAAGUAACUGUGCACAUCUUGACGGUACCUGAUCAGAAAGCCACGGCUAACUACGUGCCAGCAGCCGCGGUAAUACGUAGGUGGCAAGCGUUAUCCGGAAUUAUUGGGCGUAAAGCGCGCGUAGGCGGUUUUUAAGUCUGAUGUGAAAGCCCACGGCUCAACCGUGGAGGGUCAUUGGAAACUGGAAAACUUGAGUGCAGAAGAGGAAAGUGGAAUUCCAUGUGUAGCGGUGAAAUGCGCAGAGAUAUGGAGGAACACCAGUGGCGAAGGCGACUUUCUGGUCUGUAACUGACGCUGAUGUGCGAAAGCGUGGGGAUCAAACAGGAUUAGAUACCCUGGUAGUCCACGCCGUAAACGAUGAGUGCUAAGUGUUAGGGGGUUUCCGCCCCUUAGUGCUGCAGCUAACGCAUUAAGCACUCCGCCUGGGGAGUACGACCGCAAGGUUG
rnacentral:rRNA from 1 species